rnacentral:rRNA from 1 species
AACGAACGCUGGCGGCAUGCCUAACACAUGCAAGUCGAACGAGACCUUCGGGUAUAGUGGCGCACGGGUGCGUAACGCGUGGGAACCUGCCCUUAGGUUCGGAAUAACUCCCCGAAAGGGGUGCUAAUACAGGGUAAUAUCUUCGGACCAAAGAUUUAUCGCCUUUGGAUGGGCCCGCGUUGGAUUAGCUAGUUGGUAGGGUAAAAGCCUACCAAGGCGACGAUCCAUAGCUGGUCUGAGAGGAUGAUCAGCCACACUGGGACUGAGACACGGCCCAGACUCCUACGGGAGGCAGCAGUGGGGAAUAUUGGACAAUGGGCGAAAGCCUGAUCCAGCAAUGCCGCGUGAGUGAUGAAGGCCUUAGGGUUGUAAAGCUCUUUUACCCGGGAUGAUAAUGACAGUACCGGGAGAAUAAGCUCCGGCUAACUCCGUG